UCGAAACCCUAACCGUCGUAGUCGAAUUCGAGAUCCAACCAAGCUUAUCUCUCAGGUAACCAAGUCCUUAGCUGCGCCAAACUCUGCGUCUCUCUCUCUCUCAG